rnacentral:rRNA from 1 species
GUAGGUGGCAAGCGUUGUCCGGAAUUAUUGGGCGUGAAGCGCGCGCAGGGCGGUCCUUUAAGUCUGAUGUGAAAGCCCACGGCUCAACCGUGGAGGGUCAUUGGAAACUGGGGGACUUGAGUACAGAAGAGGAAAGCGGAAUUCCAAGUGUAGCGGUGAAAUGCGUAGAGAUUUGGAGGAACACCAGUGGCGAAGGCGGCUUUCUGGUCUGUAACUGACGCUGAGGCGCGAAAGCGUGGGGAGCAAACAGGAUUAGAUACCCUGGUAGUCCACGCCGUAAACGAUGAGUGCUAAGUGUUAGGGGGUUUCCGCCCCUUAGUGCUGCAGCUAACGCAUUAAGCACUCCGCCUGGGGGGGUACGGCCGCAAAGGCUG